CAACUCUCAACAACGGAUAUCUUGGCUCUCGCAACGAUGAAGAACGCAGCGAAAUGCGAUACGUAGUGUGAAUUGCAGAUUCCGUGAACCAUCGAAUCUUUGAACGCAUAUUGCGCUCGAGGCUUCGGCCAAGAGCAUGUCUGCCUCAGCGUCGUUUUGACACCUCACUCCCAUACCUUUUUGGUAUCAUGCAUCAGGCUAUUGCUUGAUGCUGGGGGUGGAUCUGGCUUCCCCAGAGCUUGCUCUGGGUUGGCUGAAGUGCAGAGGCUAGAGCACGGACCCAUAUGGGUGUCAACUGGAUAGGUAGACUCCACGUUAGUGGACUACACGAAGUUGUCGCCUGGGAUACGUGUUGGCAGCCAAACAGGAAACUUCUCUCACUUCGACCUGAGCUCAGGCAAGAUUACCCGCUGAACUUAAGCAUAUCAAUAAGCGGUGGAA
rnacentral:rRNA from 1 species